GACCGUACCGCAAACCGACACUGGUGCGCGAGAUGAGUAUUCUAAGGCGCUUGAGAGAACUCAGGAGAAGGAACUCGGCAAAUUGACACCGUAACUUCGGAAGAAGGUGUGCCCUAUUAGUGUGUAGUGAACAACGAAGCAUGAAUGGGUUGCAAAAAAUCGGUGGCUGCGACUGUUUAUUAAAAACACAGCACUCUGCAAACACGAAAGUGGACGUAUAGGGUGUGACGCCUGCCCGGUGCUGGAAGAUUAAAUGAUGGGGUGCAAGCUCUUGAUUGAAGUCCCAGUAAACGGCGGCCGUAUCUAUAACGGUCCUAAGGUAGCGAAAUUCCUUGUCGGGUAAGUUCCGACCUGCACGAAUGGCGUAACGAUGGCCACACUGUCUCCUCCUGAGACUCAGCGAAGUUGAAAUGUUUGUGAUGAUGCAAUCUCCCCGCGGAAAGACGGAAAGACCCCAUGAACCUUUACUGUAGCUUUGUAUUGGACUUUGAACAGAUCUGUGUAGGAUAGGUGGGAGGCUUUGAAGCAGGGUCGCUAGAUCUUGUGGAGCCAACGUUGAAAUACCACCCUGGUGUGUUUGAGGUUCUAACCUAGGUCCAUUAUCUGGAUCGGGGACAGUGCAUGGUAGGCAGUUUGACUGGGGCGGUCUCCUCCCAAAGCGUAACGGAGGAGUUCGAAGGUACGCUAGUUACGGUCGGACAUCGUGACGAUAGUGCAAUGGCAUAAGCGUGCUUAACUGCGAGACUGACAAGUCGAGCAGAUGCGAAAGCAGGACAUAGUGAUCCGGUGGUUCUGUAUGGAAGGGCCAUCGCUCAACGGAUAAAAGGUACUCUGGGGAUAACAGGCUGAUACCGCCCAAGAGUUCAUAUCGACGGCGGUGUUUGGCACCUCGAUGUCGGCUCAUCUCAUCCUGGGGCUGUAGCCGGUCCCAAGGGUAUGGCUGUUCGCCAUUUAAAGAGGUACGUGAGCUGGGUUUAAAACGUCGUGAGACAGUUUGGUCCCUAUCUUCCGUGGGCGCUGCAGAUUUGAGGAAGCCUGCUCCUAGUACGAGAGGACCGGAGUGGACACACCUCUGGUGUAUCGGUUGUCACGCCAGUGGCAUUGCCGAGUAGCUAAGUGUGGAAGAGAUAACCGCUGAAAGCAUCUAAGCGGGAAACUCGUUUCAAGAUGAGAUCUGCCGGGGCCUUGAGCCCCCUAAAGAGUCGUUCAAGACCAGGACGUUGAUAGGUCAGGUGUGGAAGCG
rnacentral:rRNA from 1 species